AUAGCAACACUACCAUUUUGAUUUAUAGUGAUUCGCCUGAGAAAAUAAUUUAUACAAACAUAAAAUCAUAAUGUAUUUUUCUUGCUGUUAGAUUUUACACUUACUGCACAAGUGAGUGUAAAAGCAGAUACUGAAAGAUGGGGUGCGCUAAACUUAUCGCAAUAAGAAGAAGGAAGCGUUUGCGACACGAUAUCAAGAUCACCAGUCUAUCUAGUCAUGUCCGUCUGACUAUCCGUCCAUGUGAAAGGGUGGAUCUCGGAAACUAAAAAAGCUAUAAUAUUGGGACUAAGCAUGCAAGUUCAAUAAAUUUUAAAAAUUUGGAUGGUGCCAAAA